rfam:Granulicatella adiacens ATCC 49175 genomic scaffold SCAFFOLD2, whole genome shotgun sequence.
GCGACAAGGAUAGCGCCAGGCCUGUUUUAAAAAACGGGUGACGAGGAAUGAGUUUAUCGAAAUACUCGGCGGAUGACUCAAGGCAGUGCAGUCUACAGCUACAUACAAACCAUUUUGUAAGGAAAUGACAAAAUUGAUAGCACGCACCAGA